rnacentral:rRNA from 1 species
UUAGAGUUUUAUCAUGGCUCAGAUUGAACGCUGGCGGCAGGCUAACACAUGCAAGUCGAGCGGUAACAGGGGAAGCUUGCUUCUCGCUGACGAGCGGCGGACGGGUGAGUAAUGUAUGGGGAUCUGCCCGAUAGAGGGGGAUAACUACUGGAAACGGUAGCUAAUACCGCAUAAUCUCUUAGGAGCAAAGCGGGGGAACUUCGGUCCUUGCGCUAUCGGAUGAACCCAUAUGGGAUUAGCUAGUAGGUGGGGUAAUGGCUCACCUAGGCGACGAUCCCUAGCUGGUCUGAGAGGAUGAUCAGCCACACUGGGACUGAGACCCGGCCCAGACUCCUACGGGAGGCAGCAGUGGGGAAUAUUGCACAAUGGGGGCAAGCCUGAUGCAACCCAUCCCGCGGGUGUAUUGAAUGAAGGACCCCCUAGGGUUUGUAAAGUCCCUUUCAGUCGGGGGGGAGAAGGGGGUUGAUUCUUAAUAUCAUCAUCGGAUAUUGACCGUUCCCGCCAGAAAAAAACCCCCCGGUUAACUUUCCUUCCAACCACCCGCGGUAAUUCGGAAGGGGGCAAACCGUUAUUGGGAAUUAUUGGGGGUAAAGCGCACGCCAGGCGGUUUGAUUAAGUAAAAUGUUGAAAUCCCCGGGGCUUACCCUGGGAAUGGAUUUUAAGACGGUCCAGUUAGAUUCCUUGAAAAGGGGGGUAGAAUUCCAAGGGGAACGGUGAAAAGGGUAAAAAAGGGGGAAGGAAUCCCGGGGGGGAAGCCGCCCCCUUGGCCAAAAAUUGACGCCCGGUGCCGAAAGCGUGGGGAGCAAACAGGAUUAGAUACCCUGGUAUUCCACGCGGUAACCAAGGUCGAUUUAAAGGUGGUCCCUUGAGGAGUUGCUUUCGGAAGCUACCCGUUAAAUCGACCGCCUGGGGAGUACGGCCGCAAGGUUAAAACUCAAAUGAAUUGACGGGGGCCCGCACAAGCGGUGGAGCAUGUGGUUUAAUUCGAUGCAACGCGAAGAACCUUCCCUACUCUUGACAUCCAGAGAAUUUAACAGAGAUGCUUUGGUGCCUUCGGGAACUCUGAGACAGGUGCUGCAUGGCUGUCGUCAGCUCGUGUUGUGAAAUGUUGGGUUAAGUCCCGCAACGAGCGCAACCCUUAUCCUUUGUUUCCAGCGAUUCGGUCGGGAACUCAAAGGAGACUGCCGGUGAUAAACCGGAGGAAGGUGGGGAUGACGUCAAGUCAUCAUGGCCCUUAUGAGUAGGGCUACACACGUGAUACAAUGGCGUAUACAAAGAGAAGCGACCUCGCGAGAGCAAGCGGAACUCAUAAAGUGCGUCGUAGUCCGGAUUGGAGUCUGCAACUCGACUCCAUGAAGUCGGAAUCGCUAGUAAUCGUAGAUCAGAAUGCUACGGUGAAUACGUUCCCGGUCCUUGUCCACCCCGCCCGUCACACCAUGGGAGUGGGUUGCAAAAGAAGUAGGUAGCUUAACCUUCGGGAGGGCGCUUACCCAUCUUG